AUGAACCACUAAACACACCACAUCAUUCCAUGACUUUCUUACAUUUCCAACUUGCAAACUUCCCCUCUUUCCCAUUCUUUAUUCACGGCAACCACACACCCCACUAUAUCCUCAUUUUCAUUCUCUAAAACACCAUAAUUUACAUCAUUAAAAAGCCAUUUUAAGGUGUUUAAGGAACUUGUAUGCUUGAAGAAUCAUUGGAGAUUAUUUUAGAGCUUUCAAGUCUUCUUAAUCUUUAUCUUAAAGUCCAUAAAUCCUUUGCAAAUUUGUUAUUACGCGCUAAUUGGAUACCCGAACUGCUAGCAUACAUACGGACGCAAACUUGUAACUAAGUGGAUCUUGGUGAGACAAAUUAUGAAGUUUCAAGUUUACUAUGAAGACGAUGUCAUCCGUAUUUUGGAGGGUUUGAUCCAUAUAUCCCGUCUUCGAACGGGACAUAGGAUGCAAAACCUCGUUAUUUCAAAAACUUUAUUUUGAACAAGUCUUGUUUGUAGAACUUAUAAACUUAUGUUGUCUUUUGCUACAAAACAACUUAUGACUUGUAUCUUUACAUUAUGGAAUGGAUGAACAUCGUGUAUGUUUUAUAUCAUAUAGUUUGUUUACUUA